AUUUCUAUUUUGUGGAGCAGCUGAAGACCGAAACCUGGCCCUUUUGAAAGUCAUCACUGAACAAAAGGCUGAGGCUGAGAAACUGAAGGUUGAAAUCAGGAAGGUCACAGAAGAGAUGGAGAAGUUUCAUUGUGAAGCAUCACAGUCGAAGGCCUCUUUGCUGAAAGACAUGGAACGAAAAUUAGAGGAAACUCGAUCUCAAGCAGAGACGUAUGAAAACGAAGCUAUCCUUCUAAGCGAACUCCUGGAUAAAGUAAAAACAGGGGUGGACAGCAUCUUCUCUGAAAUGUGCUGUGACCAAUCAGCAGUGAAGGAGACGCCUGGCUGCUCCUCUGUGAUCACAGAG